AUGAUGCCUUUAUAAAGAUUUCCAAACGUCAACCAAGCCUUAUAACAAGAGUGUAAUAUUUUUUAAUAGCAGGAAAAUAAGUGUCAAUACCGGCUUUAUUUAUUUAUUAUUUAAAAUUGUUAUUUUUUUCACAUUACAACAGAUCUAUUUAUCUUAUUUUAAUAUAUGUCAAAAUAGUGAGAUAUUUUCAGGGUCUCACAACAACUGCAUUUUGACCAGUUUACUAGUCAGCACUUUAUAAAACAAGUAUUUGGAAAGUCAGUCUUGCUGGGAUAACUAAAAACUUGUAGUUAUUCACAGAAUGAAUAAAAAAGCAAUGUGACAGAAAUAGGUGUACUUCAAAAAUAUAGGACCAGAGUUGACUGAAUGACAACUUGUAGAUUUUGUUCCCUUAUCCAAGCAAAACUAAUGAUAGCUAUUUCUUUUGAAGUUUCAUAUUAUGUUGACUUUAGUUUACUGUCAGCAUGUGAAACUGUGUAUAGUUUACCUUUUAUGUGACUCCCAACUUUAAAGAUGAAUCGGUCUGAGAAAAAAACCACCUUAGUUCACCGCAAAAAAAUAUUUACCAUUUUGUAAAAUGAAACCACCCCUGGUUAAAACUUUUCUUAUUUAAAAACUUGAUUUUGCCCCUCUGGGAAAAUGGCCUCCCUCAUACAUGUGUCUAUGAUAGCUAAAUACCGACCUCCAUUUUCCCCCGAAUACCAGAUGCUAGAGACAAAACAAUGGGGAGGGCUGCUGCCCUUAUGUCCUGUUUGUGCCAUCUCUAGCUCUGCACUUCUCAGAGUCAUCUACUUGGCCACAGUGCAGAAUAAUAUUCUGGACUGAUCCAGUGGGGUUUUUCUUAUGUUCUUAUGAAAAUGGUAUUUAAAAAACCAAAAAGAAUCUUAUGCCAUAUGUUUUAGUGAUACUAUACUUCUCUCAAAGCAUAUUGUUUGCCUGCUACAGUCUUCUAUUUGGAAUGACACCUGUGAGACACUGUAGUACAAAAAUUAAAUUUAGUUUUUUGCUUGUUUGCUAUCCGUUGCAGAAUAAAUAGUGCCUCAUUCCUACUUUGGAUUCAGACAGUGAAUGGUUCAGCAAAACCCCCCACACACUAGAGCUUCAAAAAAGUUGCCAAGAUUUACCUCUAGUGUCUGAAAAUUAAAAACAAAAUUCCUGGCACCUUCCUUGUGUAAUAUAAAAUACUGUAACUGAAA